AUGUAUCCUGGAAAACAAAACAGCUGGUCUGCUAGAAGACAUGAUCAGACCACGCAGUGAGAGACAGACACACAAGGCAGCCAUCUGGGUUCCUAACAGUUCUCUGGUUCCCAGUUCCAUCCCAUCUGAUGCCUAAUGCCAUUUCCCACUUUGGAAUAUCAUGAGAUGACUGUGUAUUCGUCUACUCUACCUCAGAAGACAGCCAAGACUCUCUGUAGACUGUCCAUGGCUUCUGCUGCUGGGAUGCACUACCUUCAAUCUUUCCUCCCACUGGUUCUAUGGCUGCUGAACUAGGAACUCUUUGAGAACAGUGACAUCUCCUAUACCUCUCGUACAUACCUCCACCACUGCAUGUAUCACCCUGACCUGUAUGACACACAGAUGUCUAAGCAACUGCCUUCCAGCAGUGAUUGAUUUUGCUGGUUCCCCACACAAAAAGUUUGGAAGAGACCCUUAUGUCUUCUGUAGAGUUUCUUGGUUGUAAGCAGCAAGCACUGGUGCUGGCUAACUUAAGCAAAUAAAGAAUAUAUCACUCAGACAUCAAAGAAACAGCUGGAAAUCUGGCUUGGCAAAGGCCGGAUUAGGGCACUCCUGGGGAUGUGGGUAGUAGGAAUAGUCUAUAGUUUUUCCUCAGUGCCAACACUGGGAAAGAAUAUGUUCCAAUUAUUUUCAUUUUCCUAUCCUUUUGUCUUUCUUCAGAAGAAGCAAAGUUGAGAGAUAGUCUUUCAUAGCUUUUCCCAUAAGGUAUGUUCUCCUUGGGCAACAUUUUCAACUCAACCUUUAGCCCUUAGCUUGCUUUUUCUUUUUUUUUUUCUUUAUUUUUUUUAUUUUUGAGACGAGGGUCUUGCUCUGUCACCCAG
rnacentral:lncRNA from 1 species